rnacentral:rRNA from 1 species
AUUGAACGCUGGCGGCAUGCUUUACACAUGCAAGUCGAACGGCAGCGCGGGCUUCGGCCUGGCGGCGAGUGGCGAACGGGUGAGUAAUACAUCGGAACGUGCCCAGUAGUGGGGGAUAGCUCGGCGAAAGCCGGAUUAAUACCGCAUACGACCUGAGGGUGAAAGCGGGGGAUCUUCGGACCUCGCGCUAUUGGAGUGGCCGAUGGCAGAUUAGCUAGUUGGUGGGGUAAAGGCCUACCAAGGCGACGAUCUGUAGCUGGUCUGAGAGGACGACCAGCCACACUGGGACUGAGACACGGUCCAGACUCCUACGGGAGGCAGCAGUGGGGAAUUUUGGACAAUGGGCGAAAGCCUGAUCCAGCAAUGCCGCGUGUGUGAUGAAGGCCUUCGGGUUGUAAAGCACUUUUGGCGGGAACGAAAAGGACUGUGCCAAUACCACGGUUCGAUGACGGUACCCGCAGAAUAAGCACCGGCUAACUACGUG